CCCUUUUCUUCAGCAAUCGGGAGAAGGUCAGUGCUUUGAGGGAGGGAGCGUGGUAUAGCCCACAGCCCUGUUUACAGAACCACACUCUGUAUCCAGGCACAUGGGAAUGUGAUGCCGGAGCCCAGAGGAGGAAGAAGAAGAAGAAAAGAGGAGGAGGCAGAGGAGAGCCUGGGAUGGGCCGCCCAUCAGCUGAACCCAGCUAUACAUAUCAGAAGACAAAGGAUCCUGUCGGUGUAGCCCUUAUAAGCCUGCUUCAUGCACCAUACGGUGGGUGGAGAAGAGUGGAGAGCAGGUCGAAAAGGGGAAACAGCAUCUCCGGGAGAUGGAGGUGUAUUCUUCUUCUCUUGCAGGACUGGUUAUGUGAUUUGAGGGGCUCAGUGCGCAAUGAAAAUACUGGCCGCCUUGUUUAAAAAUUGCUAAGAAUUUCAAGACAGUGAUUGAAGAGCAUAGUGUGCAUAAACUAAGUCACAUACUCACGGAGCCUGCCUUGUUUCCGUGUUACAGAUGAAG
rnacentral:lncRNA from 10 species